UGGGGAGGUUCUGGAGGAUGUUUAGGAGGUUCUGGAGGCACUGGGGAGGUUCUGGAAGAUGUUUAGGAGGUUCUGGAGAAGAUUUUGGGGAGGUUUUGAAGGACAUCAGGGAGGUUCUGGAGGACAUCAGGGAUUUGGGAUCUGUGGGAUCUGAGUUCUGGAGGACAUCAGAGUUCUGCAGAAGCUUUUGAGGAGGUUCUGGAAGACAUCAGUGAGUUCUGGAGGAUGUUUAGGGGGUUCUGGAGAAGGUUCUGGGAGGUUCUGGAGAACAUUUUUGGGAGGUUCUGGAGAAGAUUUUGGGAUGUUCUAGAGAAGGUUUGGGCAGGAUGUAGAGAAGGUUUGGGGAAUUUCUGUGAGGUUCUGGAGAAGGAUUGGGGAGGUUAUGGAGGACAUUUAGGAGGUUCUGGAGAAGGUUUUGGAGAAGUUUUGAAGGACAUCAGGAGGUUCUGGAGAAGGUUCUAGACUAGGUUUGGGGAGGUUCUGGAGAACAUUUUUUGGGAGGUUCUGGAGAAGUUUUCUGAGGUUCUGGAAGAGACUUGGGGACGUUCUAGAGAAGAUUUGGGGAGGAUCUGGGGAAGGUUUGGGGAAGUUCUGGGAGGUUCUGGAGAAGGAUUGGGGAUGUUCUGGAGAAGGUUCUGGACAAGGUUUGGGGAGGUUCUGUAGAAGGUCCUGGGAGGUUCUGGAGAGGCCCCUUUUUGACAGCAGCAGCAGCAGCAGCACGCUUUGGGGCUCCCACCCUGGCUGGAGGUUUGGAUCCAGCCGAGGAUCCCCCUCCAGCGCCGGGGGCCGGGCGCUGACCGGGCCCCGCCGGCGUUUCAGGACAUGCUGAAGAACACGCCCCGCGGCCACGCCGACCGGCUGGCGCUGCAGCUGGCGCUCACCGAGCUGGAGACGCUGGCCGAGAAGCUCAACGAGCAGAAGCGCCUGGCCGAGCAGCUGGCGGAGAUGCAGCAGCUCAGCAAGAGCAUCGGCGAGCGCAGCGGCCUCAGCAAGGCGCUGGCCGCGGGGCAGCGGCAGCUGCUGCUGUGCGAGACGCUGACCGAGACGGUGUACGGCGAGCGCGGGCAGCUGCUCAAGUCCAAGGAGCGCAAGGUGUUCCUGCUCAGCGACCUGCUGGUCUGCGCCAACGCCAACUUCCGGUGCGCCCCCGCCCUUCCUCCCCUUCCUCAUCCUCGUCCUCGUCCUCAUCCUCAUCCUCAUCCUCGUCCUCAUCCUCAUCCUCAUCCUCAUCCUCAUCCUCAUCCUCAUCCUCAUCCUCAUCCUCAUCCUCAUCCUCAUCCUCAUCCUCAUCCUCACCUCCACCUCCGCCUCAUCCCCUUCCUCAUCCUCAUCCUCAUCCUCAUCCUCAUCCUCAUCCUCAUCCUCAUCCUCGUCCCCUUCCUCAUCCUCGUCCUCUUCCUCGUCCUCAUACUCAUCCUCAUCCUCAUCCUCAUCCUCGUCGUCCUCAUUCUCCUCUCCUGCCUCCACAUCCGCCUCAUCCAUCCUCCUCCUCAUCUGCAUCCUCCUCCUCAUCUGCAUCCUCCUCCUCAUCUGCAUCCUCCUCCUCAUCUGCAUCCUCCUCCUCAUCUGCAUCCUCCUCCUCAUCUGCAUCCUCCUCCUCAUCUGCAUCCUCCUCCUCAUCUGCAUCCUCCUCCUCAUCUGCAUCCUCCUCCUCAUCUGCAUCCUCCUCCUCAUCUGCAUCCUCCUCCUCAUCUGCAUCCUCCUCCUCAUCUGCAUCCUCCUCCUCAUCUGCAUCCUCCUCCUCAUCUGCAUCCUCCUCCUCAUCUGCAUCCUCCUCCUCAUCUGCAUCCUCCUCCUCAUCUGCAUCCUCCUCCUCAUCUGCAUCCUCCUCCUCAUCUGCAUCCUCCUCCUCAUCUGCAUCCUCCUCCUCAUCUGCAUCCUCCUCCUCAUCUGCAUCCUCCUCCUCAUCUGCAUCCUCCUCCUCAUCUGCAUCCUCCUCCUCAUCUGCAUCCUCCUCCUCAUCUGCAUCCUCCUCCUCAUCUGCAUCCUCCUCCUCAUCUGCAUCCUCCUCCUCAUCUGCAUCCUCCUCCUCAUCUGCAUCCUCCUCCUCAUCUGCAUCCUGCUCAUCUGCAUGCUCCUCAUCUGCAUGCUCAGCCUCAUCUGCAUCCUGCUCAUCUGCAUCCUCCUCCUCGUCUUCAUCCUCCUCC
rnacentral:lncRNA from 12 species